ACCUCGGUGGUGUAGUGGUAGAGCAAGCAUCCCCGGCAUGGAUGAAACGCGGGUUCGAUUCACGCCUGAGGUC